CAGGGCAGUUAACAGCAUGGAUAUGGACAUAACUUUUAUUUUUAUUCCACAAAGGGGCAAGAGCGUAACUGGAUACUGCAUCCAGGACAGAAACAACCGUACUAUGCUGCUAAGCUCUUUGUGAGCACCUACCUACACAGACAGCAUGCUAAUGCUAAGCUAGCCAAAAACCCAGAGUGAUGCUAAAGCAGAGUGAAUGGCGACCCAGCCCAGCACCGCGUCUAGUGAGCAGUCAUGAUAUUUACCUGCAAUGAUGAAGCCAGCUGCUGCUGAACUUCAUCAGACCUGGUGGUGUGACCUGGUAUGGCAGACUGUGUGUCCCCCCCUCGUCCCCACACCUGUCAGUCCUGCCACAGUGUCCUUUCGCACUGGUCAGCAGCACCAUUAGGGGGUCUCUUCUAUGACAAGAAGCCUGCAUGGAGGCGACCAGCCCUCAAACCUGCUCUGCAAGAGAUCACACACUGAUACCACCUUCCUGGGUGUGCCGAGUAUACUAAAACAAGAAAAAGGAGUUUGCCUUUUAUCUGAAUUAAGGAGAGCCAACAAAGAGUGCCAUUGGGUUUGGGUGGAGGAUUUGACUUUGACAUUUUGGAGGGGGGAAACAUAGAAAGGCUGCACUAUAUCCCACUGUGUAACGCUGCCCCAGAUCUAAAGGAUGCGACGACAAAGGGUAAACAUGGCUGCCGGCAUUACUGUUUGGGGGAAAAGUCUCCCAAGCAGGUGUGUCCCUGGUCACAAAGCUCAAAUGAGCACACCAAUAAAGCAGCUCUGUGGCCG